AGAGUUUGAUCCUGGCUCAGAUUGAACGCUGGCGGCAGGCCUAACACAUGCAAGUCGAGCGGAUGAAGAGAGCUUGCUCUCUGAUUCAGCGGCGGACGGGUGAGUAAUGCCUAGGAAUCUGCCUGAUAGUGGGGGACAACGUUUCGAAAGGAACGCUAAUACCGCAUACGUCCUACGGGAGAAAGCAGGGGACCUUCGGGCCUUGCGCUAUCAGAUGAGCCUAGGUCGGAUUAGCUAGUUGGUGAGGUAACGGCUCACCAAGGCGACGAUCCGUAACUGGUCUGAGAGGAUGAUCAGUCACACUGGAACUGAGACACGGUCCAGACUCCUACGGGAGGCAGCAGUGGGGAAUAUUGGACAAUGGGCGAAAGCCUGAUCCAGCCAUGCCGCGUGUGUGAAGAAGGUCUUCGGAUUGUAAAGCACUUUAAGUUGGGAGGAAGGGCAUUAACCUAAUACGUUAGUGUUUUGACGUUACCGACAGAAUAAGCACCGGCUAACUUCGUGCCAGCAGCCGCGGUAAUACGAAGGGUGCAAGCGUUAAUCGGAAUUACUGGGCGUAAAGCGCGCGUAGGUGGUUUGUUAAGUUGAAUGUGAAAGCCCCGGGCUCAACCUGGGAACUGCAUCCAAAACUGGCAAGCUAGAGUAUGGCAGAGGGUGGUGGAAUUUCCUGUGUAGCGGUGAAAUGCGUAGAUAUAGGAAGGAACACCAGUGGCGAAGCGACCACCUGGGCUAAUACUGACACUGAGGUGCGAAAGCGUGGGGAGCAAACAGGAUUAGAUACCCUGGUAGUCCACGCCGUAAACGAUGUCGACUAGCGUGGGAUCAUGAAAUCUAGUGGCGCCAGCUACGC
rnacentral:rRNA from 1 species